GACGAACGCUGGCGGCGUGCUUAACACAUGCAAGUCGAACGGAAAGGCCCUGCUUUUGUGGGGUGCUCGAGUGGCGAACGGGUGAGUAACACGUGAGUAACCUGCCCUUGACUUUGGGAUAACUUCAGGAAACUGGGGCUAAUAACGGAUAGGAGCUCCUGCUGCAUGGUGGGGGGUGGAAAGUUUCGGCGGUUGGGGAUGGACUCGCGGCUUAUCAGCUUGUGUGUGGGGUAGUGGCUUACCAAGGCUUUGACGGGUAGCCGGCCUGAGAGGGUGACCGGCCCCAUUGGGACUGAGAUACGGCCCAGACUCCUACGGGAGGCAGCAGUGGGGAAUAUUGCACAAUGGGCUGAAGCCUGAUGCAGCAACGCCGCGUGCGGGAUGACGGCCUUCGGGUUGUAAACCGCUUUCGCCUGUGACGAAGCGUGAGUGACGGUAAUGGGUAAAGAAGCACCGGCUAACUACGUG
rnacentral:rRNA from 1 species